CGGCCUUCCAGUCCGCUCGCUCUAGUCUUACUCCCGCCAUCUAAGAUGGCCGCCCAGCGCCCGCGGUGAAGAGACUCUCAGGCGGCCAAGGCAGGCGAGCGCUCCACUCGCUCAGCAACAAAGAAGCACCAUGUUAGAUCCUGGGGAUUUAAAGAUAUUUCCUGACUUCUGUCCAAGAUGGCACUCACAAGCCCUCCUGGACUCCUGCGAUCUUCCUUUAUCACCAAGUGCUUCACUAAAAGUGAAUGAAAAUCAGCAGUUACUGUAUAGCUGUCCAGAAUUAAGCUGCACCACCCAUUUUCUAUGAACACGUUUUUCCCUCUCAACUAUAGGACUCUGUGGUGAUUAUUAACACAGCAACCAACAGGUGGCGCUGCAGCUCUGUGCAACUCAACUCUACAGUCAACGACUUUUCUGCUUUUUUUACGGUAAUAGAACAUCUGCACCUCUGCAUUUUUUCAAUUCGAAAUACAAAGGGUUCAGUGAAAUAGCCUAAUAGGUCUCCAAUGGAUAUAAACCCCAAGGAUCAGAAAUAUGUGUUAGCUGCUUUCAAAUGAAUCUGGUUGUGGUAGAGAAGACAUUCCCCACUCUCCACUCCCAUAAAAAUGUGCUACCAGAAAAGUUUGACUCUUACAUUGCUAGUGUAUAUUGAAAGGGGAAAUCCAUGUGCGUGAAAAGGCAGUAUGCCAGCCCAGGAACAUACAGCAUGAUUCCAUCCACGUCAUGCUGGAGACCAGGAAAGAUCUUAAUAAAGAUUUAGUUCUCACUGUGAAUAGCCAAAUUUGCAGAGCUACCAUUUUUAAUCAAAGAAUCACAGUGUUCAGAUCUGGCAAUGUCCCUGGUAAUAACUGAAUAACUCAUGUUACAGAUGGAGUAGCAAAGAGCUAGAAAUGCUGCGUGCCCUCCAGGAAACCAUGACUAUUAAAUAGCAGAUCCCAAAUUAUAAUUGAGGUCUGGCUCAAGUUCACACUGUCUCUGGAGAACAUUAGUUCAUUCAGAGUAAAUUCUGGACUCAAGCAAAUCCCCAAGCCUCAGUUUCCCCGCUCAUUGAAAGCAAUCAAUCUAUCCAUCAUCUAUCUAUCAUCUUUGUAAUUUACUUGACUCUUGCAUUUCAUAUUCUCUAGGAUAGUUUACAAGUGUUAAAACAGCUUAUUCUAUGGUUGUCAUGAUAAGAAAUCAGCUUGGUUUAUAAUUCAGUGAAACAAUUUGGCAGACAUCUUUUUAUGACAUAUUUCUAUACCUCCUGGACAAGUUGUACCAAAUAAAGAUCUUGUCUAGAGUUCUUUUAUUCAAGAUCAAUAG
rnacentral:lncRNA from 1 species